ensembl:lncRNA
UGCAUAUCUAAAUUAAUAUUUGCACAAUAGAUGUGUUUCAAUCUCGUUUUGUUUUUGUUUUCCUGGUAGCUCUGGCUGAUGAUUUGGGUCAUUUCUUCUUCAAUGGAAAUUCUGCUAUUGACAAUCCACAGAAUUUUAGAGUGGCUGGCACCAUCUUCAAAUACCGCCGUCCUUCCAAUCUACAUUCUGAUGGUCUAGAAUACAUUAUUGCACAAGGGCCCACUAAUCAGUCUCUCAACGUCAUGUACUACAAUUUCAAUGGAAAAAUGCCACAUGUAACAUAUGACUACACUGUGCCUAGAGCAUUGUCACCAGCUGUUCAGACAGUUCCGCCAUCCAUCAAGAUGCCUCUCUAUCUUCACUUACCAGAACCUAGCCAAAAUUACCAAGAUGCAGUUUCAUCCAUUUCCCAAGAUUUCAAUGCUUCUUGGGUUUCUGUCACAGAGAUGACAGAUGAGACAGAAGAAGAACCUGGGGGCAUGUCCUUCAAUAGCCAGAACUUCUUCCCAAGUAACUCCACUCACCAAGGCAAAGAGUGGGGCUGGAAACAUGGGGCACAGGAGGAAAAUCUCAGCUUUCAAUUCCAACAACUUUAUCAUACACGUGAAACAAGUAAAGAUCUGACAGCUGACAAAGAAGCAGAUCUGGCCCUCAGACUCAAUAAUAUUAUGAUCAGCACAGCCACGCCACAUGGUGCAGCAAGAUUUGAACUCCAUGAAGCCAAUAAGAUUGGUGCCUCCAGACAGCAUCUCUUCAGAUCAUUGUGUCUCCAGGAUCCACAAAAUGCCGCUUUUUGUAGGGCAUUGCAUUACAUGACAGCCAAGGUUGGGAGAAAGAAUUCAACAGUUGGGUUGUGGGGUCACACAACUAUCAAAUGGCCAGAAGGACUGCCCAAACAAUCUGCAAAAAAGAACUUUCCAGACAGAGUGAAUGUCGACCCUUUUGUAAUGAAUGAAGCAACAAAUGAUACUCUCAUGGCAAUUUCUUCCAACCCUAGCUCCAGCUCCAGGCUUCCAAUCAGCUUUGGGAAUGAGCAGCUGUCAGAGCCUCUUCAAGGUCCAGGUGCUGAAAGCAAUGACUUUGAAUUGAGUCCCCUUGGCCAUGAGGACAUCAGCUUGGCUGACAUGUAUCGCUGGAAGGUAUCAGCCUAUGCUCCUUGCAGCUCCACAUGCACAUCAGGUGAAAUAACAUGUAAUUUUGGAUACUAAUAUGGCAAGUUUUUAGUCUUGCAAAGGAUUCUUUGUGGUCAGUUUCUGCAUAUAGAAGGGCCCACAUGAGAACUUCUUCAGAAAUGAACAGCAGUGUAUAGUGUAUUAAAUACUGUUUGCUGUAUAUUUGUGUUUGUUCUGCAUCUGAAGGUAUUCUUCUUUUAAUAUUGCAAAAAACACCUUCCCUUGAUGUUACUUUAUCAUUAUAUCAGGGGAAACUUGUGAGUAGAUGUAGACUCCGUGCAUAUGCAUCAUAGAAUUGUGUUAUUUGUUUGCUUGUUUGUAACUUGCCUUUAUUAUUUUUACGAAUAACUCAAGAAAGUGAACAUAUCCAAUGCACCUUCCUCCUUCUAUUUUCCCCUGUGAGGUAAGUUGUGCUGAGAGAGUGACUGGCCCAAGGUCACCCAGCUGGCUUUCCUGCCUAAGGUGGGACUAGAAGUCUUGUUCUCCUGCUUUCUAGCCUGGUGCCUUAACCGCUUUUGUGUUUCUGUUUAGCUUUUCAAUGUAGUCUCCAACAACUCAGGAGCUGUAAUGCAGAUGGGUUUAAUUAGGACUAACAUUGUUCUUGUUAAUUUUAAUGUCUUUUUUUCCUGCAUGAAUUUUUAUUAAGUCUGCACGAAGUCAUUUGUUUCCCCAAGGCACUUCUGACUGUGAAUAUGAUGUGAUUUUCUCUUGUGCGCACACAUUCCCUCUUGCUCUCUCUUGCUGCUCUCUUUUACUCUCUCUAUCUCUAGAUUUUAUUAAAAAAAAUUUCAAACAGUAAAGGACAAAACUAAAACAAAAAGUAGCAGAAAAUAUAUAAAAAUAGAGAUAAGAAAAAGAAAGUACAGAAAGCAAAGGGGGAAAAAAGCCAGGAAAAAAGACUAAGAGGACUGAAGUCAGAAAAAUAAGUGAUCUCUGACCUUCUUUACAACAGAAAUUAACAAUUGUAUUACCCAACCUCCCUCCUUAAUAUUAUAAAAAUCCCUUCAUCUUUGGUGUAGUCCUUUUUUAUGUAUCAUUUUCUCUCUUUUCAGCAAAAAGUCCAUAAAAGUUUUCCCAUCUUUUAAGAAUGUAUUUAUUGUUUUAUGACAAAAGGUCAGGCUUCACCAUUUCUGACAACUUCAACUCCUUCACAAUCCACUUGUUCCUUGUGGGGAUUUCAGUAUUCCUCCAUUAUUGUGUAUACUGUAUAAUAGCCUUGUGCUGUUACCAUGUAUGAAGUCAAUCUUGUGUGAUUUUUUAUCUCAGUGGGCUAUCCAAAUGUCCCACUAAGAAAGUCCCAUGACAUGAUUAUUAUCUUCAUUAAGCAUCAAGGCCGUAUGAUCUGCCUUAAUGAAGCAUGUUGUGCUGUCCUGAAGCUUCUCAUAGUAUCUUUGUGAAAGCUGGAAGAGACUUCUCUGCAACUGUCUACCUGCACAGGAGUCCUUUCUAGCUUUAGUUAGGUAAGGUAAUGAGGCUCCUUUUCACAGCACAGUUUGCCAUCUUUAAGUACCAAAGGUGAGCACUGCACCUUCCACCAUCAAAGCAGAAUUAAGCAGCACAUCAUCACCUGGCACCCCUGACCAAGGACUUGGUAAGUGACACCUGAGAAGGAUAGCAGCACUUUCUCUUGCAAUGCUUGCCAAAACUUGGCUAAUUAUAUCAGAGAUGCUUUCAGGGGCUGCAAAGCUGUAAAGAGUACUCAUAGAGUUGGAUGGCUAAUAAAUUCAAAUAAAUAAAUAAAUAAAAUAAUAGAAACAAAGUGGUCAGCUUGUUUUGCAAAGAAGCCUUGAAGGGAUGAAUAGCUUGAAGUUUUGAAGAACUGUACAGUUCUAAUUCUCAGCAGCGCAGUGGUUAGAGUGCAGUAUUGCAGCCCACUUCUGCUAACUACCGACUGCCUGCAAUUUGGCAGUUCAAAUCCCACCAGGCUCAAGGUUGACUCAGCCUUCCAUCCUUCUGAGGUGAGUAAAAUGAGGACCCAGAUUGUGGGGGGCAAUAUGCUGACUCUGUAAACCGCUUAGAGAGGGCUGUAAAGCAUUGUAAAGCGGUAUAUAAGUCUAAUUGCUAUUGCUAUUUUCCCAACCUUAACGACUACUAUAGCUUUUGAGCAUUGUGUAUCCAUGACUGAACAACUUUAUUUAUUAUAUAUUUCUGGGUUUGCUUUAGAAAGUUGGGAACAUAAUAUGUACAGUAUAUUCCUGUCAGCCAUCAAUGUAGACCAGACUGGGAAACAAAAGUCACCAACUUAAUACUCCUUUAAUUAUAAGGUUAUAGUGACAGAAUCUCACAAAUCUGAAAAUGCUUCUGCUCCCCCCACUUUUUUUGUUAAUCUUUGUGAGAACUAGGGAGGGUCUUUUCUAAUAUGCUUUCUCAGAUUACAGUUCUGGCCCAGCUCUGGUUUCUUUUCAUCUCACCAUUGUCUUAAUAAAGGCUCUUCCUGCUGUUCCUCAAAAGUUAUUCUUUCUGUCCAUUUCAUCUCUUUAUGGAAAAAGGAUGUGCUUUUUCACAGAGCACAUCCUCCCUUCUCCCUUCUGAGGAAAUCCCAACUUUCUCUCUUCCUGAUAUCUAAGAUAUGGGGAUAAACAGUCGCUUGCUGCUACUUUGGACCAUAGUUGUUAGUGAAGCACUUAAUCCUGUAAGGUAACUAAUGAUGAUUCAGCUUUGCUGUGCAUGCAG